GACGAACGCUGGCGGCGUGCUUAAUACAUGCAAGUCAACGACUUUUAGAGUAGCAAUAUUUUAAAAGGAGUGGCGCACGGGUGAGUAACACGUAGGUAAUCUGCCUUCAGGACUGACACAACUCGUCGAAAGACGGGCUAAUAUCAGAUAAUGCAGCGGCUCCGCAUGGAGACAGUUGUUAAAGUACAAGCGCCUGAAGAUGAGCCUGCGGUCCAUUAGCUAGUUGGUAGAGUAACAGCCUACCAAGGCAACGAUGGAUAGCUGGUCUGAGAGGAUGAUCAGCCACACUGGAACUGAGACACGGUCCAGACUCCUACGGGAGGCAGCAGUAAGGAAUAUUGCUCAAUGGCCGAAAGGCUGAAGCAGCAACGCCGCGUGAAGGAUGAAUGGCCUUUGGCCUGUAAACUUCUGUAAAAAGGGAAAACAAUACAAGGCAAUGUCCUGAUUGAUUGUACCUUUGAAGUAAGCCCCGGCUAACUACGUGCCAG
rnacentral:rRNA from 1 species